AGCAGCCGCGGUAAUUCCAGCUCCAAUAGCGUAUAUUAAAGUUGUUGCAGUUAAAAAGCUCGUAGUUGAAUUUCGGGGUUAGUAGGUUGGUCAUGCCUCUGGUAUGUACUGGUCUCACUGAUUCCUCCUUCCUGAUGAGCCUUAAUGCCAUUAAUUUGGUGUUUUGGGGAAUUUGGACUAUUACUUUGAAAAAAUUAGAGUGUUUAAAGCAAGCUAACGCUUGAAUACAUUAGCAUGGAAUAAUGAAAUAGGACGUUCGAUCCUAUUUUGUUGGUUUCUAGGAUUGACGUAAUGAUUAAUAGGGAUAGUUGGGGGCAUUAGUAUUCAAUUGUCAGAGGUGAAAUUCUUGGAUUUAUUGAAGACUAACUACUGCGAAAGCAUUUGCCAAGGAUGUUUUCAUUAAUCAAGAACGAAAGUUAGGGGAUCGAAGACGAUCAGAUACCGUCGUAG
rnacentral:rRNA from 1 species